UUCAUUUCCUUCCUUCUUUCUCUCUUUCGCUGUCUCUACAAAUUAAUUCUUUUAUUAUCUUUUUUUUUUCUUAAAUAUUAACUUUAUAAUGAUAUGCCCCGUUUUAAGUAUUUUAACCCUUGACCACUGAUGCCCUGUCCGACUGACGUAGGGCCCCGUAACGUAUGUCAAGGCUCUGCCUAAAUUCGUUGGGGUUCUGUCUCGUGACGUAGGGAUAAAGUGUAAUUGGGUUACUAUACUUAAUGUGAGUGCACUAUAUAUGUUAUUAAAUAACUCAGGAGUGAUACCCAAAAUAUAACAACCCUCCUAAAACACCCUUGACACCCCUACACUUCCUAAAAUACACCCUGUAUGUGAAAAACAAGCCCGAAAUACAAUAUAUAAAUUAAAAACAAGAAAUAGUAAGUUGAGGCGGGCCGCGUAGACCCACCCCAACCAUUCACGCGGGCCGUAUGAGGGUUAUACCGGAUUCCCUUGAUUUCUUAAGUUCAAGCGGGCCGCGUAAAGAUCCCCGUUAGUUUACGCGGGCCGCGCGUGUUCCAAAUGGUGGCGCAACUCUGAGCUGACACGUGUCGAUAUCGUGUCGAGUCUACUUGGUGACCAGGCUAAGCUACGCAGUUGACCGGAGUCAACGCGGGCCGCGUAAGCCCAGUCCAUAUUUUACGCGGGCCGCGAGAGAGUCCAGUAUCAGCCCUAUAAAUUGGAUCGUCGAGCCUUCAGUCUGCUUCGUUCAAAAUCAAUUCUUUCUCUCUCAAAAUUAAAUAGUGGGCAUUAUACGCGGGUAUUAUACCCCCUAAUUAGCGAAGCUCUGCCUCGUUAUUAUAACCAGGAAGCCACAAAGGAAAUACCUAAAAUAGCAAUGUGAGUUGAUCCACUUUUUGUUAAAUGUUUUUACAAAACCUUGCAUACUUUUCUAUGCAAAUAACAGUUAUUGAGUAUUUGUAACUUAGUAUGAAGCACAUAAAAGCCAGCUGGAGAGCACUGAAGGCUUAGAAAAGUGGCUAUAAAAGUUACCUAAAUAAAAGAAAGUGUUUACUUCAAUAAAAUGGGAUUUAUCCCUGUAAAUCAGUUUGUAAUGAAAACUUGGGUUUUACCCAUGUGAUUAUAAAAAUAAAAAUGUGGUGGUUUACU
rnacentral:lncRNA from 1 species